CAUAUUUUCAUUAAUUUUGAUUUUACUUUUAUUUCAGAAUUUGAUUUCGAAUCGAAUUGUGGCGAACUAUUAUUUUGUAGCAUAUAGUUAUUUAUUUAUUUAUUUAGAAUUAGCGUAGUUGAAAAAAUCCUCUUCUUUCCACUUAAACCUUAGUCCUUAGUAAAUGUAUAUAGAAUGGAGGGGUAUUAAUUUGUAGGAUAGAAACUGUCCCCAAAGCCCAUCAUCAUAAUCAAAUUCUAUUUUGAAUGUGAACUUGCAGGAAAGAAAGAGAAAGGUGAGAUUCCAGGUAACAUAUGCAAACAAAACUGCCGUGGAAGGUGCUUUAAUAUCAAUAAAACAAACCCAAUCAAGCUUCCCAUUUGGAUGUGGCAUGAACCAUUACAUCGUGGAAAACGUAGAUUACCAAAACUGGUUUGCUUCAAGAUUCAGGUAUACCACUUUCACUAAUGAAAUGAAGUGGUACAGCACCGAGAAAAAACAGGGUCAGGAAAACUACACAAUUGCAGAUGCAAUGGUAAGAUUUGCCAAACAAAAUGGCAUUUCUAUCAGAGGUCACAACAUUUUCUGGGAUGAUCCAAAGUACCAACCAGACUGGGUUAAAAAUCUUUCUCCUAAUGAUUUACGAGAAGCUGCAGCAAAAAGAAUAAAUUCGGUGGUCUCAAGAUACGCAGGUCAACUAAUUGCUUGGGAUGUAAUGAAUGAGAAUCUGCACUUCAGCUUCUAUGAAGAUAAGCUUGGCGAAGAUGCCUCUGCAGAGUACUUCUCAACAGCUCACCAGCUUGAUCCUGGGACAAGAUUGUUCAUGAAUGAGUAUAAUACCAUUGAAGAUUGUACAGAUGAGGCUGCAAAUCCAUUUAACUACAAGAAGAGACUGGAGGAAAUUCUGUCAUAUCCUGGAAACCAAGGAAUUUUAGCAGGAAUUGGUGUGCAAGGCCAUUUCAGUUCUGACCAACCAAAUCUUGCGUACAUGAGAGCUUCCUUGGACAUUCUAGCUACAACAGGAUUGCCUAUAUGGCUUACUGAAGUAGACGUUGGCAGAGGCCCAAAUCAGGCAGAGUACUUGGAGCAGGUACUGAGGGAAGGCUACUCUCACCCUGGUGUUGAAGGAAUUAUCAUGUUCGUAGGCCCAGCAAUUGCAGGUUUCAAUGUUACAACACUAGCAGACAAAGAUUUCAAGAACACUCCAUCAGGAGAUGUUGUGGACAAGCUGAUUGAUGAGUGGAAGCCUAAGCCUACUGAAAUUAAAGCAGAUAGUGAAGGAUCCAUUGAAGUUUCAUUGUUUCAUGGAGAUUACAAUAUAACUAUUAAAGACCCAGUUUCCAAUUCAUUGACUAGGUGGAAUUAUAAUAUGAUAGAAGACGAUACAACAGGCACUGUUCAUAUUCAUAUCAAUGCUUGAAAUGAAUCAUCACCAUCUCAAAUUACAUAUAUUUGGCAAAUAAAUUGCCCUGUGUGUUUUCUUGGAAAACACCAUUGGAAGAUCACACCAUAACUUCUUUUUAAUCAGUGUUUGUAAGAGUGAAUUGAGCAAGUGUGGAUUGAAGAUUUUCAUGUCAUCUUUUGCAUCCAUUGAAGCUUCUGGAUAAAUAAAAACAACAAAAGCAAUAAGAAAUAAAGGGUUAGAAAAAUCUUUAAUAUUCAUAAACUCCAUAAUUUAAGUUUCUUUGAUGGUCACUAUUGUCUCUGUCAUAAUAAGCACGCAAAUCUAAGGCGCACA
rnacentral:misc_RNA from 1 species